rnacentral:rRNA from 1 species
UCUAUUACUAUAUCAUCCUAAACAUGCUCAAUAUCGUCUGAUCAAAGAAGCUAAGCAGGGUCAGGCCUGUUUAGUACUUGGAUGGGAGUAUAGGGAACUCAGGGAGAAAAUAAGU